rnacentral:sRNA from 1 species
GACUGGUGCAGUGGUGUACACCUGUAAUCCUAGCAGCUCAGGAGGCUGAGGCAGGAGGAUUGUGAGUUCAAAGCCAGCCCCAACAACUUAGUAAGACCCUGUCUCAA